CGUACACUCCUGCGGGAGGCAGCAGUGGGGAAUAUUGGACAAUGGGCGCAAGCCUGAUCCAGCCAUGCCGCGUGAGUGAUGAAGGCCCUAGGGUUGUAAAGCUCUUUCACCGGUGAAGAUAAUGACGGUAACCGGAGAAGAAGCCCCGGCUAACUUCGUGCCAGCAGCCGCGGUAAUACGAAGGGGGCUAGCGUUGUUCGGAUUUACUGGGCGUAAAGCGCACGUAGGCGGACUAUUAAGUCAGGGGUGAAAUCCCGGGGCUCAACCCCGGAACUGCCUUUGAUACUGGUAGUCUUGAGUUCGAGAGAGGUGAGUGGAAUUCCGAGUGUAGAGGUGAAAUUCGCAGAUAUUCGGAGGAACACCAGUGGCGAAGGCGGCUCACUGGCUCGAUACUGACGCUGAGGUGCGAAAGCGUGGGGAGCAAACAGGAUUAGAAACCCUUGUAGUCCCA
rnacentral:rRNA from 1 species